rnacentral:rRNA from 1 species
UACGAAGGGGGCUAGCGUUGCUCGGAAUCACUGGGCGUAAAGCGCACGUAGGCGGACUCUUAAGUCGGUGGUGAAAUCCUGGAGCUCAACUCCAGAACUGCCUUCGAUACUGGGAGUCUUGAGUCCGGGAGAGGUGAGUGGAACUGCGAGUGUAGAGGUGAAAUUCGUAGAUAUUCGCAAGAACACCAGUGGCGAAGGCGGCUCACUGGCCCGGUACUGACGCUGAGGUGCGAAAGCGUGGGGAGCAA